rnacentral:rRNA from 1 species
GACGAACGCUGGCGGCGUGCUUAACACAUGCAAGUCGAACGGAAAGGCCCUGCUUUUGUGGGGUGCUCGAGUGGCGAACGGGUGAGUAACACGUGAGUAACCUGCCCUUGACUUUGGGUUACUUCUUGGAAACUGGGGCGAUAACCGGAUAGAACAUCUUCUGCCGUGUGGGGGGUGGGAAAUUUCGGCGGGUGGGGGCUGUCCCGCGGGUUAUCAGCUUGUUGGUGGGGUAGUGGCUUACCAAGGCUUUGACGGGUAGCCGGCCUGAGGGGGUGACCGGCCACAUUGGGACUGAGAUACGGCCCAGACUCCUACGGGAGGCAGCAGUGGGGAAUAUUGCACAAUGGGCGGAAGCCUGAUGCAGCAACGCCGCGUGCGGGAUGACGGCCUUCGGGUUGUAAACCGCUUUCGCCUGUGACGAAGCGUGAGUGACGGUAAUGGGUAAAGAAGCACCGGCUAACUACGUG